rnacentral:rRNA from 1 species
AGGAUGAACGCUGGCGGCGUGCUUAACACAUGCAAGUCGAACGAUGAAGCCGGAGCUUGCUCUGGUGGAUUAGUGGCGAACGGGUGAGUAACACGUGAGUAACCUGCCCUUGACUCUGGGAUAAGCGUUGGAAACGACGUCUAAUACCGGAUACGACGCGCGAAGGCAUCUUCUGCGCGUGGAAAGAAUUUCGGUCAAGGAUGGACUCGCGGCCUAUCAGCUAGUUGGUGAGGUAACGGCCCACCAAGGCGACGACGGGUAGCCGGCCUGAGAGGGUGACCGGCCACACUGGGACUGAGACACGGCCCAGACUCCUACGGGAGCAGCAGUGGGAAUAUUGCACAAUGGGCGCAAGCCUGAUGCAGCAACGCCGCGUGAGGGACGACGGCCUUCGGUGUAAACCUCUUUAGUAGGAAGAAGCGAAAGUGACGGUACCUGCAGAAAAGCACGGCUAACUACGUGCCAGCAGCCGC